AUAAGAAGGUAAGUAAUAGUUAAAUGUGAUUAUGUGAAGUAUUGUCAUUACUGAUGUCGUCUCUGUACUGGUUAGUGUGUAAUAUACGAUGGCUUAAUAUUUUUGGCAGGUAUAUAAGUGGGCCACCUCGGAGAACCACCUUUUGAAUGAAGAGCUCAUGAAUAUUUGUGAUGAAUUUUGCUGGUUCAUCAUAAAAGAAAUAAUUCAUAA
rnacentral:lncRNA from 1 species